UGACGUGCAUGAAUACUGAAUUUCUUUUC
rnacentral:piRNA from 1 species